ensembl:lncRNA
UUCAGAUCCUGGGCGCGGACAUGGCACCGCUCGACAGGCCAUGUUGAGGCAGUGUCCCACAUCCCACAACUGGAAGGGCCUGCAACUAAGAUAUACAACUAAGUAUGGGGGGUUUGGGAAGAUAAAGCAGCAAAAAAAUAAAAAAAAGAGCUGCAGGCAUGAGGACAGGACCCAUGGGCAGUAAGAGCUGCAACGUGUUGAGGGUUAGAGCUAAAUUUAUAAGGCAUAGGUAUGUGAGUUAUUUCAUGAAAAUCAUGAAAAAAAAAUCAUUAAAAUGGUAUCAGUGUAGGUGGGGUCUGGUUAUUGGGUGGACCUAUAGCUUUGGAUAGAAAUCAGAUUGGAUUAAGUCAGGACGUCCUAUGCUUCCCAGAGGAUGAUAAAGAUCCGUAUGUAGGGCCGGACUCCUUGGGCUUCUCCCUGAGGCAGGGGCAGCCUUGAUCCUCAUCAUGGAGACUUCAAAUGAGAACCUUCAGCCACCAUGUGAACAGUUUGACUGCUCUGAGACCACCAUGCUGUGAGGAAGCCCAGCUCUCCUAUGCAGAGACCACAUGGACAAGCUCUGAGACUACAUGAAGGGAAUGAGAUGUCUAGCCAGUCCCAAGAUGUUCCAUUCUCUUGCUGUUCCAGCUUCAGCCAUCAUCUGACUGUAAUCUCUCAAGAGAGCUUGAACCAGAACUGCCCAGCCAAGCCUUUCUUGAAUUUCUGACCCAAAGAAAUCAUAGAUGUUAGAAGAUGAUUAUCGUUUAAGCCACUAAAUUUUAGGGUGAGUUGGUUUGGAGUAACAGAUAACAAGAACAGAUGUUGCUAUUUGGAAAUGGAGUGCUGUCAUAAGAAAGCCGUAAAACACGGACUGGAUGGUGGGUAGACUUGAGGAGAUGUUAUUAAAAUAUUGAGGGGUCACAAGGGUCAUGUUAGCAGUUGCUAAAAGGGCUUCACGUAGUCUAUUCAAGUAGUCCCUUCUCUCCUAACACCACCAGGGUAACUGUCCCCACCACCGAGAGAGGUCCCUCCUCUCCCAGGCCCGCUGGGGUGACCAUCUCCACCACUGAGAUAGGUCCCUCCUCCCCUGGGCCUACUCCUAGUGUCCUCACCACUCAGACAUCUCUCACUUCCUUCAGGAGCACUGAGAGGGUCACUUUCCCCACAAGCCAGUCAAGUCCUUUCUCCCCCAGCACCACCGAGUUAACUGUCACCACCACUGAGACAUGUCCCUCCUCCCGCAUGACAACUUCGAGUAGUCUAUUGGUGAGAGAUUGGAGGAGAGUGAGAAAAUGUUAUUGGAACCUGGAAGAUAAAAAGACCAUUGUUACGGAAGAGAAGAGAGUUUAUCAACACUGUUUUCUGCAGCUAUAUGGAAAAUAGAAAAUGUAACUGAUGAACUCAGUGAUCCGGCUAAGAAGAUUUCCAGGCAGAGCACUGACGGUGCCACCUUACUUCAUCUCACUGCCUAUUACAAAAUACAAAGAGAGAUGAGUUAAAAAAGAAACAGUUUAGUUUUCAGGCAUAAUUUAGAGGAAACAUAAAGGAUUAAGGACUUGCUGGAUUUGAAAUAAAAUUUUUUUAUUCCUGGCCU